UCCCCGUUACCGGGGCAGUCUGAAUAGAAAAAUCCAACUAUUCACGAGGGUUGCGCUCGUUAAAGGACUUAACCUGACAUCUCACGACACGAGCUGACGACGGCCAUGCAUCACCUGUCACUUGUCCAACUAAAUGAAGCUCUAGUUUCCUAGAGCGGCGACAAGGAUGUCAAGCCUUGGUAAGGUUCUUCGCGUAGCCUCGAAUUAAACCACACGCUCCACCGCUUGUGCGGGUCCCCGUCAAUUCCUUUGAGUUUUAGCCUCGCGGCCGUACUCCCCAGGCGGGAUACUUAACGCGUUAGCUUCGCUACCGAAGGGGUCGAUACCUCCGACAGCUAGUAUCCAUCGUUUACGGCGUAGACUAC
rnacentral:misc_RNA from 1 species